GAUGUCCUUGACCUUCUGCUGCCUCUCCUGGAUCAUACUCUGAACAUCAGUCUUAGUCUUCCCCAUCUCUCAGUUCACACUCUUCUGACAUCAGGACAGUUACAUGAGUCCUGUUCUCUGUCUCGUAUCAGAACUGACACACACAUGUCUGUUCUUCCCUACAGAACUUCUCCAGGGGUCUGUUGUGCUUCAUGCAGACCCUCUGCUCCAGGUCCUCCACAGGGUCGAUCAGCUGGUGUUUUUUGAACAGUGCCACCCUGUGGUGGGGCUUUAGCGGCACGGGUCAGUGCUGUCCCAGUAUCUGGUUAUACAGGCCUUGCAGAGGUUGUGUCCACAUGGGAUGGACACUGGCUCCUUGAACACAUCCAGACAGAGGGAACAAUGAAACAGCUCAUCAGACAGCAGAAGGCUGCAGGACGUCAUUGAUUAGGACACAUCAAACACCAACACCUGUGGUGUUCUGUGUUCCUGAUAGUCCCUGAUCAUUGGUUCCUUCGUCUGGUUGCAGUGGUCCAAUCAGUGGCCACUCCCUCUAAUUGCUCCCACUUGUUCCUGUCAUCAAUAGCCAAUCAUACGUCCUUUAGUUUAAAACCCAAUUAAGUUUAACUCUGUUGGGGUUCUCCACCCUCUAGUUGCCUUGACGUUGAUUUAGAACCUUACAUGUGGAAUGUUCAUCCUUAGAAGAGAGCAGUCGUCCUGUGUUUCCUGUGGGAAUGUAAUACCUUCUGGUUUACUAGUGGUCUCUUGUGUGUACUUGUGUUGGUAUUUGUUCAUUUUACUCAGUGUGAAAUGAUUUGUUCUACAGAGAUGUUCUGUGUUUAUCCCUUGGGAAGAGGACUUUACUUAGGGAGUUCAUACAGGCCAGAUGUCCAUGGACUUAAAUUCUUCCUUUAGAACUGACUUGUCUACACACACUGGGUCAGAUUCAGGGUGGACCUCCCCAUGUAUUUGUGUAGAUAGAGAGCCUAGCUGUUCUAUAGUAGGAUACUUCAGUUAGAGUUUGUUUUUACUUAUACUUUAUUUCCUUUGG